rnacentral:rRNA from 1 species
UAAGCGGAGGAAAAGAAACUAACAAGGAUUCCCCUAGUAACUGCGAGUGAAGAGGGAAAAGCUCAAAUUUAAAAUCUGGCAGCCUUUGGUUGUCCGAGUUGUAAUCUAGAGAAGUGUUACCCGCGCCGGACCGUGUAUAAGUCUCCUGGAAUGGAGCGUCAUAGAGGGUGAGAAUCCCGUCUUCGACACGGAUCCCCGGGGCUUUGUGGUGCGCUCUCAAAGAGUCGAGUUGUUUGGGAAUGCAGCUCAAAAUGGGUGGUAAAUUCCAUCUAAAGCUAAAUAUUGGCGAGAGACCGAUAGCGAACAAGUACCGUGAGGGAAAGAUGAAAAGAACUUUGGAAAGAGAGUUAAACAGUACGUGAAAUUGCUGAAAGGGAAACGCUUGAAGUCAGUCGCGUUGGCUGGAAAUCAACCUUGCUUUUGCUGGGUGUACUUUCCAGUUGACGGGCCAGCAUCAGUUUUGACCGGUGGAAAAAGUCUAGAGGAAUGUGGCACCUUCGGGUGUGUUAUAGCCUCUGGUCGUAUACAUCGGUUGGGACUGAGGAACUCAGCACGCCGCAAGGCGGUCUUCGGACACGUUCGUGCUUAGGAUGCUGGCAUAAUGGCUU